AUUGAACGCUGGCGGCAUGCCUUACACAUGCAAGUCGAACGGCAGCACGGGAGCAAUCCUGGUGGCGAGUGGCGAACGGGUGAGUAAUACAUCGGAACGUGCCCAAUCGUGGGGGAUAACGCAGCGAAAGCUGUGCUAAUACCGCAUACGAUCUACGGAUGAAAGCAGGGGAUCGCAAGACCUUGCGCGAAUGGAGCGGCCGAUGGCAGAUUAGGUAGUUGGUGAGGUAAAGGCUCACCAAGCCGUCGAUCUGUAGCUGGUCUGAGAGGACGACCAGCCACACUGGGACUGAGACACGGCCCAGACUCCUACGGGAGGCAGCAGUGGGGAAUUUUGGACAAUGGGCGAAAGCCUGAUCCAGCCAUGCCGCGUGCAGGAUGAAGGCCUUCGGGUUGUAAACUGCUUUUGUACGGAACGAAACGGCCUUUUCUAAUAAAGAGGGCUAAUGACGGUACCGUAAGAAUAAGCACCGGCUAACUACGUGCCAGCAGCCGCGGUAAUACGUAGGGUGCAAGCGUUAAUCGGAAUUACUGGGCGUAAAGCGUGCGCAGGCGGUUAUGUAAGACAGUUGUGAAAUCCCCGGGCUCAACCUGGGAACUGCAUCUGUGACUGCAUAGCUAGAGUACGGUAGAGGGGGAUGGAAUUCCGCGUGUAGCAGUGAAAUGCGUAGAUGUGCGGAGGAACACCGAUGGCGAAGGCAAUCCCCUGGACCUGUACUGACGCUCAUGCACGAAAGCGUGGGGAGCAAACAGG
rnacentral:rRNA from 1 species